CCACGUCCUGGCGGCUAGAGGGCCCCCUGCGGCGCGCGACUGCUCCGGAGGACCGACCUGGAGCGCCCUCGCCGGGAGCGGCGGCCUCACCGGCUCGGGCCCCUCAGACCUCCACAGCCUGCUGCGCCUGGCGUGCGUCUACGCGGGGGCCGCUGAGGCCAUUCUCAGUCGACCCCGCGGGGAACCGAGAGGGAGAACACAAACAGCAGGAGUAGCAGGCAGAGGGAGAGAAAGAAGCAGGCUUCCUACCAAGCAGAGAACCUGAUGUGGGGCUCGAUCCCAGGACCCCAGCAUCAUGACCUGAGCCGAAGUCAGUGCUUAAUCACCUGAGCCACCCAGAGAGAGACAGAAAGAGAGAACACAAGCAGGGGGAACGGAAGGCAGAGGGAGAGGGAGAAGCAGGCUCCCCACUGAGCAAGGAGCCCGACGGGGGACUUAAUCCCAGGGACUCGAUCCCAGGACUCCGGGAUCAUGACUCGAGCGGAAGGCAGAAGCUUAACCAACUGAUCUACCCAGGCGUCUCAAUUAAGGAGCAUUUUAAAAAUCACUGGAAUCAUCUGAUCUUUAAAGGGCACAAUAUUUGAUGCAUAUCAAUAACACCUACCUUUUGGAUUGUCUUGUUUAGACUUCUAGAUCAUCAUUUAAUUUUGGCCACUGGAUCUGUUUUGGAUUGGAAAAGGACUCCUCAAGAAAUGACAGUCCCUUGGUGCUGCAUUUAAUUGGAGACGUGCUCAGAGACGGUCGAGAAUAAUUAUGACGCCUGAAAUGUCAAGCUCUUCAAAAGUCUGCCAUUGCCCUCCCUGCCACCCUGAACAGCUCUGGGAGCCCAAACCAUGCAGCCCCCCAGAGCAUACCUGGGAAAUCUGAGUGACAUUGACAUGCAGGCAGCAGGAAGACGCACAGUGAACCGAGAAGCCUGUGCUGAGCUCAGAAGAGGUCCAUCUCCAGACCCUUCUCAGACUCUGGACCAUUCCAUGCCACAGGCUCCCAAGACUGCUUGUUUUAUCAUCCUGCAUAUGCUUAAGGACUUGUCUUCCUCAAUGGGCCAAAAUCCCUUGAAGAUCUCUGGAGAGAUGGACUCCAUGUCAAGAACCCCUGGCUUAGAAUGCUCGCUCUUCUCCCAUAAGCCCUCACAGCUCAUUCCUUCACCUCCUUUUAUGCAGAAGCCACCUUCUCAGGCAGCUCUUCCCCAAGGACUCUAUUUAAAUUGCAUGACCACAUUCCCUAUCCCUCUUUCCUACUUAAUUUUUUCGGAAUAGCAUUAACUAACCUUCAAAUAUAUUUUACUUUAAAAAGUUUUGUGUAUCUCCUUCCACUAGAAAGUGAGUUCCAUGAGAGUAGGCAUUUUUGUCUGUCAUUUUUGUGCUGUGUCCUCAGCCCCUAGAAUGGUGCAUGGUAUACCAGAGGCACUCAAUAAAUAUUUGUUGACAAAAGUGAAUGAUUACAUCUCCAAGAACUUUGUUUCUUCUUUUUUUUCUGUAAUAAGUUAAUGAUUUGUGAGGCUUUUACUAAAGACUAAGGAGUUAUAAUUAGCUCCAUUGCUAUUAUUCUGUUAACAUUUUCAAGGUUAACCUUAAACAGUAGCAGAGAACAGUGGGAAUCCAAGAAUUCUGAUGGAGCUUCCAGUCCUAAACAAGAAGUGUCUUCCAAGGACUCCUUAGGGGACCUGGGUCUCACCCAAAUUCAGUGAACCACCUUAGAGGCAAAAUGCUACCCACAAAAUUCUUUCUUGCUAUUAUAGCAAUCAGGCCCCCAUCCUCAAUCAAACCAAUAAUGCUAUUACUUUUUAUUUCUGGCAGUGGGGUAAAAUGGAAAAAAAUGUAGUCUUUGGGGUCGUGUGGACUAGGUGCCAAUUCUACCACCACUUGCUAGCUUGUGUGACUGUUAGUAAGUCACCAAACCUUUCUCAAUAGGUAAAAUGGGAUUUUUGUGAGGAUGAAAUGGAACGACUUGCAUACUGCACAGCACAGAGCAGGUGCUCUAUAAAUGGUCAUCUCCCUCUUCCUUC